ensembl:lncRNA
CUUAAGGUAAAAAGAAAACAUCACCUCAGUUGUAAGAGCUCAUUUAUGAAAGAUGCUCCUAACCUAGCAGAGCUGUACGGAUACGGUGCUGCAAUUCCUCAGUGGGAGCACAUUGUGGAAAGGCUCUGCAGAGUCCUCCUCAUGGCAGGUACUGUAUUCGUGGUGCCUGGCUGAUUUAUAGGCUGCCCUAAAUAACUCGGCUUCCCCCUUCUGACAGCAGAAGUCUGCUUUGUUUAAUCUCACUGCAGGAGGGUCGGUGUCAUCUGUGCUUCUGACCAGCGCUUACUUGUGAACUGACUGAUAACACAUCCUCCAAUGAAGCCAAUACUGACAGAGCAGUAGUUCCUCUGCUGAGGAAGUUAUUUAAAAUACAAAAUAACUAGCUUAUGUUACAUAUUAUUGGAUCUUACAAGAAGAUGCAUGAGAUCUAACUUCCACAGUGUACUUCAGUGAAUUUAUUAUUUCCUAACACUGUAGUGAUUAUGUCUCAGCUGUCUCCAUUAGCUUCAGCUGAGUGCUUUGGCAUUAUGCUGGUAUUGGGUUGGAUCUCAGCAUAAGGAUGGGAGAUAUGUGGCUUCUUGGUCAUCUAGUAACACACAGACUGGAAGAGGGAAUUCUAAAGAGAAGUGCAGAGUAUAAAUGAUAAUGAUGACAAAAAUUUCUGUUUUCAAGGCUUUUCUGGCAAGCCUCUUCCAGCUUGACUGCUGGAGAUCCUUGCUCUUGUGCCUCCUGGAACUUGUUGUCUUCCCACCCACUGCCCAGCUAACACAGUCCUGGACUCCUUGCAACUCUGUCAUCUAUUGCUCACCUGCUCUGGGCUCCUCUGCACAAAACCUCACCUGCUGCUGAACGGUGCACCCCAGUGUAACCCAGUGAGCUGAUGGGGUCCUGUGUCCCUCACAAUAGUCACUCCUCAUUUUUGCAGGCAGUAAAUAGCAAGAGAAUGUGGAGAAAAGAGGGAGAGGAGGAAAGGAAAGGCAAAACGUAAGGAAGUUCAGCCAAGGUUAACAUCAGCAACCAAGUGAAAAGUCAGAAGAGGUCUUCUAGAAUCUCGGAAAUAUUGCUAACGAAAAGGAAGAGAAAGAGAAAAAUCCAAAAUCCUUAACUAUGUUUAGAAUUUUUUGUAGUAUCAAAGAGGUAGUGGAGGUACCACUUCACAGGGAAAGGUAGAAAAAGCCAGAAGUCUAUAGCUCACUUGAAACUCAGCAUGGUAACAGCUAUCAAGACAGAUAAAUGCAGCCUCUGUGGAAGGAGAGCAAUUGUUCAAGGCUGACUUAAGUUGGGAAACUGGGAGUAAGGAGAUGAAGCUGAACAUCAGAUUGCUCAUUACUGAUUAAGUUUUCCUGGAGUCACUGCUUUUAUUAAGAGAGGAGAGGCUUCAGAGGUUGAAGGACUCUACUAGGCAAAAGUGGCUGACAAACAUUGUGAGAAGAUGAUGAAGAGUCUAUUGACAGGACCUUGAGCCAACUUGCCCAGCACACCAGCAGAUUACCACAUGCCAACCAAAUGUGCAAAACUUGAAGAUAUCUCUGUCAAGCUCAAGGAAAAAGUGUGUGUUUGAAGUGGGGAAGUUCUGUCUGGUUGUCAUGGCAAAACACCAUGCUGAUCUCUAACACUUUUAUACAAAUAUAUAUAUAUAUAUAUAUAUAUAAAGGAAUAAUAGGAU